AUUGAACGCUGGCGGAAUGCUUUACACAUGCAAGUCGAACGGUAGAGGGGGCAACCCCCUUGAGAGUGGCGAACGGGUGAGUAAUAUAUCGGAACGUGCCCAGUCGUGGGGAUAACGUAGCGAAAGUUACGCUAAUACCGCAUACGAUCUACGGAUGAAAGCGGGGGACUCGCAAGAGCCUCGCGCGAUUGGAGCGGCCGAUAUCAGAUUAGGUAGUUGGUGGGGUAAAGGCUCACCAAGCCAACGAUCUGUAGCUGGUCUGAGAGGACGACCAGCCGACACUGGAACUGAGACACGGUCCAGACUCCUACGGGAGGCAGCAGUGGGAA
rnacentral:rRNA from 1 species